GGUCUAUAUCCUGUCCACGAAUUGCAGAACGUCAUACCCAAUCUUACUGAAAAAAAGAUUAUGCGUCACAUUCACAAAUAAACACAGUUAUCAAGGGAGCACAAAAGAUGUGAGCAUUGAGCAGUUUUCUCUCCCUGCAAAAGCCUAUUUCCUGACCACGAACGAAAGGGAGGCAGGAGUCUCGCCGCCAUGGCUGCUGGACACUACGGCAAUGCGCCACUCAGCCCGGAACAGCGGGCACUCCCGGCACCAGCGCCACCUACAGGCCCUGCGCACCUCUACACGUCACGUUAAUUCCACACCGUGGCAAAGAGCAGAGGCACCUGCGCCAGUCAGAGGGACAGGAGACAGGGGAAAGCGAUCCAGAAGGAGGGUGGGUUUGUGCUCAUUGUGUACGGCGAUUGAGAAAAUCUGUUUGAAUGAGUUCUGCCUGGACUCCAGAGGAGAAAACCUGCACUGAGUUGUAACUACUAAAGAUGUAAACACUCGUCACAUACCGAGCAGUUUAACAGCUUAUGAAAAUGCUGAUCAUGUAGAUAAAUAACGUGGGCUGACCUUGAACAGCAAUCAGUGAUACUAGUAUACUCAUGUUUAAAUAAAAUACAAUUUUUCAGGAGUUAUGCAUGUGUAAAAUGUGUCCCAAUGCACAGGAGUUAAAUUCACAUUACGUGAGUGAAAGGUAUGAAUGUAUUUGAAAAGCUCCACUACUUAAAAUAUUAUUUUAUAUUUUACUUUUUUUAAAAUGUUGUCCCCUGUUAGGUCCCAGUUAGGAGACAAAAUGUUUUCAUUAGUCACUGUAUGUGUGCACAAAUUUCUUUGAACCCCUGGGAAAUUUAGAACAGCUAUUUUUAUUUUAUCCAUGUAAAAAUCACACACAGAGCAGCCAGUUCACAGGAGAGAACUGUUUAGGACCCCCCAAAUACUCAUCACUAUUGCUUUGCAUUUUUUAAAAUCAUAAUGCAUCACUAACAAUGGAGGCAAUAACCAUGUUUACAAUACAAGAGCUAUAACAAUCAUUGAAAAGAUCGCAGCCUUGGGGCACUGUAAUAAAGGCCCUUGGCAUGUUGUUAGCAUGCUGCUCUCAAAACAGAGCUCAUCCACCAGCCUGAUAUUGAGGUGUUUUCACUGCAAGCACACUGCAAGAGACUUUGCCUCUGAGCAUUGCAAGGUCCCUGUGCUCAUUCCAACAGCCCAACCCUGCUGCGAAUGCAUUCACCACGGGGAGCAUUGACCCACCUGGGGAGUGUGCAUUACACCUGGCAGAGCCACCCUGCAUUGAGGUCUCCUGAAAUGGCCAGCAUGGGGUCUCUUUCAUUAGCUCUCCUCCAGUACUGCCAGACAACUCCUGGACGACUCUGUCGGGACAUUAAGGAUUUAUGAGAGCUCUGUAAUAAAAAGACGAGAAAGUCAGAAACUGUUCAGAAACUCUUGUAUCAGGUUUCUUCUCUCUUGUCUUUCCUUGCCUGCAGAUUGCAGUUCAGAGCUUAGCGGGGGAGCGCAGGGAGCUUACGCAGGGCUCAGCAGCUACAGGAGAACCAUUGGAUUAAAUAUGUAAGACAGAAAGCAUUUCAUUUGAUCACUUUUCCCUACAUAUCAGGCUGGAGAUGUGCGAGCAGGCCUGCUCUGCUCAGCAGAGGUGGCCCGGCACUGAACUGCAUGCUGGGAGCUGAAAGAUUCAACGCAACCCCAAAGUUCCCGGGCCAGACAGUGAACUCAAGGUCAGCUGUUGAGAAUGCAGCUCAAGUCUGGGAUUGCAUUCUUUCCCUCUGCUGUGUUUCAAUGAAUAAAUCCACAAGCGUGGUGCUGAAUGCCAAACGCUCCAAUGGAGCUGAGAGCGGGAAAACGCUGUGGCUGCAGGACAGUCCCAUUCGCGGUUACUGGGGAUCUGGCCCAGCUCUGAUUGGUUAAGCUGCUGGUCAGGCUCUGAAACCAGUAAUCCCAGGGGGAGGGUGGGGUGCAGGACUGUGGGCAGGAUGUGCAGUAGGGGAACCCCAGGCCCUGCCUGGGCUGCACCCAGAGCUCACCACUGGCAGAACAAAAAUACCUCAAGGAAAUCCACAGCACGGAGAGAGAGGACUUACCACUGAGCCAGCAAAAAAGCAAAGAAGCCUUUCAGCUUCUCUCGCCUCAAAUGACAACCACCAGUCAGGUUUUAUAUUUCCAUGGGAAGCAGAGUUGCUUAUGACAUGAGAGGACAGGGCCUAUGCCCAAAACAUGUGCCAGGUGCUAUGGGACUGCUCCCAUACAGGUUAUAGGGUAUUUGGUUUCUAUACAGACAUAACAUGUGUCCACCUUGUAACACAUUUCAGUAUGAGGCAAAGUGCUGCUGUUUACAAUUAUGUAUUCCUGUACUGUCCAGCUUGUAUUAAUGUAUAAAAGCUAUGAAAUGAA